rnacentral:rRNA from 1 species
AUUGAACGCUGGCGGCAUGCCUUACACAUGCAAGUCGAACGGCAGCACGGGAGCAAUCCUGGUGGCGAGUGGCGAACGGGUGAGUAAUAUAUCGGAACGUGCCCAGUCGUGGGGGAUAACGCAGCGAAAGCUGUGCUAAUACCGCAUACGAUCUACGGAUGAAAGCGGGGGAUCGCAAGACCUCGCGCGAUUGGAGCGGCCGAUAGCAGAUUAGCUAGUUGGUGAGGUAAAGGCUCACCAAGGCGACGAUCUGUAGCUGGUCUGAGAGGACGACCAGCCACACUGGAACUGAGAAACGGUCCAGACUCCUACGGGAGGCAGCAGUGGGGAAUUUUGGACAAUGGGCGCAAGCCUGAUCCAGCAAUGCCGCGUGCAGGAUGAAGGCCGUCGGGUUGUAAACUGCUUUUGUACGGAACGAAACGGCGAGCUCUAAUACAGUUUGCUAAUGACGGUACCGUAAGAAUAAGCACCGGCUAACUACGUGCCAGCCGCCGCCGUAAAAC